ACGGCAGCACGGGCUUCGGCCUGGUGGCGAGUGGCGAACGGGUGAGUAAUGCAUCGGAACGUGCCCAUGUCGUGGGGGAUAACGUAGCGAAAGCUACGCUAAUACCGCAUACGCCCUGAGGGGGAAAGCGGGGGAUUCUUCGGAACCUCGCGCGAUUGGAGCGGCCGAUGUCGGAUUAGCUAGUAGGUGAGGUAAAGGCUCACCUAGGCGACGAUCCGUAGCGGGUCUGAGAGGAUGAUCCGCCACACUGGGACUGAGACACGGCCCAGACUCCUACGGGAGGCAGCAGUGGGGAAUUUUGGACAAUGGGGGCAACCCUGAUCCAGCCAUGCCGCGUGAGUGAAGAAGGCCUUCGGGUUGUAAAGCUCUUUCGGCCGGGAAGAAAUCGGCGACUCUAACAUAGUCGCUGGAUGACGGUACCGGACUAAGAAGCACCGGCUAACUACGUGCCAGCAGC
rnacentral:rRNA from 1 species